rnacentral:rRNA from 1 species
UACGUAGGGGGCAAGCGUUGUUCGGAAUUACUGGGCGUAAAGGGCGCGUAGGCGGCACAGCAAGUCGGGAGUGAAAGCCCGGGGCUCAACCCCGGAAUGGCUUUCGAAACUGCUGAGCUAGAGUACAGAAGGGGCAACCGGAAUUCCCAGUGUAGCGGUGAAAUGCGUAGAUAUUGGGAAGAACACCUGAGGCGAAGGCGGGUUGCUGGGCUGAUACUGACGCUGAGGAGCGAAAGCCAGGGGAGCAAACGGG